CUGACUAAUACUGUGUUGGUCCCUUUAUGCUGCUAAAACUCCUCCGAUCCAGUGGUUCAUCAGAACCUCUGGGGAUGUCCUGUGGAUCCUGUGGAUCCUGUGGGUUGCAGGGUGGGUCCUACCUAGACCAGGCUGAUCCUGGACCAUCCCACAGAUGCUCCAUCAGAUGUGGAUGUGGGGAGUGUGGAACCCAGAUGUUCAGAGGGAGAUGAUGCCACAUCUGGUCCAGCUGAUGGAAGGUCUUGAAGUUCUCUGACUGGCCUCGACUGAAGAUGGUCGUCUCACUGGAUUUAAGAGAUGCACAAUGAGGGACGUCUGCAGAGACUGAGAAAGAGUCUCACCACAUCCUGACAUGAGGAAAAAGACUUUAUUGAAGACUGCAAUGAGAAAAACUAUCAGACAGCAGACGGCUGCAUUCAAGUCUGUAGCUGCUGAAUUCAUGGAUGAAUCAUCUGGCACUAGAGAAGAACACCAUCAAACAUCCACGUCAGCUGAUGGAGGUCCAAGAGUCUCACCCAACAAACAACCUACAGAGUGAAGACCUCAGCUCUGAUUGGACGGCCUCCUAUUCAGCCACAUUUUAGGCUGUUAGAUUGUUCCAGAUAAGACGAGUACAAGAUUCUUCAGAGCCGUUCUACCACGAGCCUGACAGGAAGAACUCCAACAGCUACUGAAUGUUCCUGUGGUCCCCUCAAGGCUACAGGAGGAGCCCUACAAGGACGAG
ensembl:lncRNA